GGCCUUAGUAACGGCGAGUGAAGCGGCAAAAGCUCAAAUUUGAAAUCUAGCACUUUCAGUGUUCGAGUUGUAAUUUGAAGAAGGUAACUUUGGAAUUGGCUCUUGUCUAUGUUCCUUGGAACAGGACGUCACAGAGGGUGAGAAUCCCGUGCGAUGAGAUGUCCAAUUCUAUGUAAAGUGCUUUCGAAGAGUCGAGUUGUUUGGGAAUGCAGCUCUAAGUGGGUGGUAAAUUCCAUCUAAAGCUAAAUAUUGGCGAGAGACCGAUAGCGAACAAGUACAGUGAUGGAAAGAUGAAAAGAACUUUGAAAAGAGAGUGAAAAAGUACGUGAAAUUGUUGAAAGGGAAGGGCUUGAGAUCAGACUUGGUAUUUUGUGUUCCUUAUCCUUCUUGGAUUAGGUUCCUCACAGCUUACCGGGCCAGCAUCGGUUUGGAUGGCAGGAUAAUGACAUUGGAAUGUAGCUUUGCUUCGGUGAAGUGUUAUAGACUUUGUUGAUACUGCCUAUCUAGACCGAGGACUGCGUCUUUGACUAGGAUGC
rnacentral:rRNA from 1 species